UACGUAGGGGGCAAGCGUUAUCCGGAUUUACUGGGUGUAAAGGGAGCGUAGACGGCGAUGCAAGUCUGAAGUGAAAGCCCGGGGCUCAACCCCGGGACUGCUUUGGAAACUGUAUGGCUGGAGUGCUGGAGAGGCAAGCGGAAUUCCUGGUGUAGCGGUGAAAUGCGUAGAUAUCAGGAGGAACACCGGCGGCGAAGGCGGCCUGCUGGACCGCGACUGACGUUGAGGCUCGAAAGCGUGGGGAGCGAACAGG
rnacentral:rRNA from 1 species